rnacentral:sRNA from 1 species
UUCAAAAAAUGAUUUCACAAAAAAAAGAGUGUUCAUGUAGUUGUAUUACAUUUAGGAUCGAUUCUACAGUGUUUUAUUUAGGAUUGUUGCAUAUACAUAGGGGAUAAUGAUGAGAUAGCCUUGUAAGCAUUUUGGUUCACCGGAUAAACUCAGUGCCCUCGUUGCUAGUUGUCUGUUGCGUAGUCAAUGAAUUUGAAAUAAAA